rnacentral:rRNA from 1 species
CGGUUAAGUAAAGUAAGAGCGCAUAGUGGAUGCCUUGGCGAAAGCCGCAAGAAGAAGGACGUGCUAAGCUGCGAUAAUCCACGGGGAGGUGCAAAGAACCUUUGAUCCGUGGGACUCCGAAUGGGGAAACCCAUCCUGAUGAGAAUCAGGAUACAGUACGAUGAAUUCAUAGUCGUAUUGAUAUAACCCAGGGAAUUGAAACAUCUUAGUACCUGGAGGAAUAGAAAUCAAUUGAGAUUGCGUUAGUAGUGGCGAGCGAACGCGCAACAGCCUAAACCUUUUUUGAGUAAUCAGAAAAGGGGUUGCAGGAUCCAUCUCCAUUUAAUUGGGAUGAGUGAUCAACCAAAUUCUUAAUCGAAGAGCCUGGAAAGGCUCACCAUAGAAGGUGACAGUCCUGUAGGUGAAAAGAAUUUGGCUUAUGAUGGACACCUAAGUACCGUCGGACACGUGGUAUCCGGCGGGAAUCCGGGGGGCCCACCCCCCAAGGCUAAAUACGAGCUUUCGACCGAUAGUGUACUAGUACCGUGAGGGAAAGGCGAAAAGAACCCGGAAACGGGAGUGAAAUAGAACCUGAAACUGUGCGUUUACAAGCUGUGGAAGACCUAUGGUUUCCGAUUUAUCGGAGACAAUGGUCAACUGCGUGCCUGUUGAAGAAUGAUCCGGCGAGUUGAUGAGUCGAGCAAGGUUAACCUUGAUGUGCAAGCAUCCUGGGAGCCGAAGCGAAAGCAAGUCCGAAAGGGCGAUACAGUUCGAUUUAUCAGACCCGAAACCAAGUGAUCUAACCCUGUCCAGAGUGAAGUCUCGGUAAUACGAGAUGGAGGCUCGGAGUGUUGAAUGUUGAAAAAUUCCUACAUGAGGUGGGGUUAGGGGCGAAAGGCCAAUCUAACUUGGAGAUAGCUGGUU